rnacentral:snRNA from 1 species
GCAUGUGAGGGAGAUCUGGUUGUGGCAUCUAUCCUCCACCCAUUGCCAGGACUGACUCAGCCAAUUUGGCUAGCUCAGCUCCUUCUGCCCCCUCCUCCUCAAGUUGUAAUCUCUGUCAAAGAGAAUGAACUCUCCUAAAUAGAGAUGAACCAGUCUGCAGUUGAAGUCGAGUAGCUGCACUCCACUGCUAGAACUACCAAACAAGCUUUCUUUUUGUACCAGAUUAGAAAAAAAAAAUUUAAAAAUUGUAUAGUCAUGGAUCCUUU